GGCCAGUUGUGGACAAAGUGUACAGUUCUCAUCAACCCAGGAAAUUUCACCAUGAUUAUUUUAAAAUGGUGAGCAGAUGGAUGAGGGACGAAAUCAUGUCAGUUUCUCAACCUUAACCGGCUAAGGGUGAUUCCUUCUCACGCCUUCAUUAACCUCAAAGGUGGUCCUGAUACUUCUGCUUGCUAAUCCAAACUUCUUUGGUAAAUGGAAUCAACUGUGGAGCUCUCUACCUUUUGGAAGGUGAGAAAGCUCACUGGGUCACCAAGGGCAA